CAUUGGUUUGCAGUACAUUGUGAAGCAGAAGGCAGAUCUCUCAGUCAGUCAGUCUGAUGUCCAUUGAUCUCUGAAGUUUGAUGGUGUUCAGGCUGCCUUCACUGCUGCCGUUUUGGUUGCCAUCACAGUUGUUUUGGUUGCUCACGAGGCUUUUGUCAUCGCCAGUCUUCAUCUUGGUCGUCGUGGACACCGAGGCCAUUCACUGUACAGCCUAUAUCCAUCAUUCAGCUCCCAUUCUCCACUCUGAACUGCAGCUGUAGUUCAGCGCCAAGGAUCGCACCGUGGGGUGCGCUAGG